CGUAAUAGCUCACUGGUCGAGUGAUCCUGCGCCGAAAAUUUCCGGGGCUAAAACGUACUACCGAAGCUACGGCAUCAUUUAUGAUGGGUAGGGGAGCUUCGUAUGCAGGCUGAAGCAUGACCGUAAGGACAUGUGGACAGUAUACGAGUGAGAAUGUUGGCAUGAGUAGCGAGACGUGGGUGAGAAUCCCACGGGCCGUAAACCCAAGGUUUCCAGGGGAAGGUUCGUCCGCCCUGGGUUAGUCGGGACCUAAGCCGAGGCCGAAAGGCGUAGGUGAUGGACAACAGGUUGAUAUUCCUGUACCGCCAAUAAGCGUUUGAGAGAUGGAGUGACACAGUAGGAUAAGCUAACCGUACUGUUGGUUAUGUACGGCUAAGCAUUGAGGCAGUCUAAAUAGGCAAAUCCGUUUAGACAAUGCUAGGAUGUGAUGGGGAAGCCCUUCGGGGCGAAGUAGCUGAUUUCACACUGUCAAGAAAAGCUUCUAUCGAGUUUAAAGGCGCCCGUACCGUAAACCGACACAGGUGGGUGAGGAGAGUAUCCUAAGGCCAGCGAGAGAACUAUUGUUAAGGAACUCGGCAAAAUGACCCCGUAACUUCGGGAGAAGGGGUGCCUGUCUAUGACAGGCCGCAGAGAAUAGGCCCAAGCGACUGUUUACCAAAAACACAGGUUUCUGCUAAGUCGCAAGACGAUGUAUAGGAGCUGACGCCUGCCCGGUGCUGGAAGGUUAAGGGGAUCUGUUAGAGCAAUCGAAGCAGUGAACUUAAGCCCCAGUAAACGGCGGCCGUAACUAUAACGGUCCUAAGGUAGCGAAAUUCCUUGUCGGGUAAGUUCCGACCCGCACGAAAGGCGUAACGAUUUGGGCACUGUCUCAACAAUAGACUCGGUGAAAUUGUAAUCCCGGUGAAGAUGCCGGGUACCUGCGACAGGACGGAAAGACCCCAUGGAGCUUUACUGUAGCUUGACGUUGGGUCUUGGUACUACAUGUACAGGAUAGGUGGGAGACUAUGAAGCAUGGACGCCAGUCUGUGUGGAGUCAUCCUUGGGAUACCACCCUUGUAGUACUGGGAUCCUAACCAUAGGCCUUGAAUCAGGUCUUGGAACACCGUCAGGUGGGCAGUUUGACUGGGGCGGUCGCCUCCUAAAAAGUAACGGAGGCGCUCAAAGGUUUCCUCAGCACGGUCGGAAAUCGUGCGAAGAGUGUAAAGGCAAAAGGAAGCUUGAUUGCAAGACAUACAGGUCGAGCAAGGACGAAAGU
rnacentral:rRNA from 1 species